rfam:Gossypium arboreum cultivar AKA8401 contig_9590_1, whole genome shotgun sequence.
UUACCGGCGGUCUCUAAUUCGCUUGGUGCAGGUCGGGAACUGAUUAGCUGUUCCUUAAUAUUGGAUUGAUUUUGAUUUUGAUUUAAGCCAGAUGGCUGGGCGUGAUUGGAGGAAGCGCGAAUCGGAUCCCGCCUUGCAUCAACUGAAUCGGAGACCGCGGUGAAG